rnacentral:tRNA from 1 species
UGCAGUGUAGCUCAGUGGUACAGCAUGUGCUUUGAAUGCACCAGGCCGUGGUUUGAGCCUUAGCACUGAAA